rnacentral:tRNA from 2 species
GUUUUAGCUCAGUGGUAGAGCACUUCCUUGGUAAGGAAGAGGUCACGAGUUCAAGUCUCGUAAA